CCCUUAGAUGUUCUGGGCCGCACGCGCGCUACACUGAUGCAUUCAACGAGUCUAAAACCUGCUCUGAUAGGGGUGGGUAAUCUUUUGAAUGUGCAUCGUGAUUGGGAUAGAUGAUUGCAAUUUUUCAUCUUCAACGAGGAAUGCCUAGUAAACGCAAGUCAUCAGCUUGCAUUGAUUACGUCCCUGCCCUUUGUACACACCGCCCGUCGCUACUACCGAUCGGAUGGUUUAGUGAGACCCUCGGACUGGUCCCGUCGAAGCAGGCGACUGCCUCGACGCGCGCGCCGGGAAGAAGGUCGAACUUGACUAUCUAGAGGAAGUAAAAGUCGUAACA
rnacentral:rRNA from 1 species